UUUUUUUCUUGGCCUUUUGGCUAAGAUCAAGUGUCGGACCUGUUCUUAUCAGUUUCAUAUCUGAUACGUCCUCUAUCCAAGGACAAGACGUUAAAUGGAUUUUGGGAGCAGGCAGAUAGAAUAAGGGCUUGCUCAGCCCACUCUGUGCAUCGAUCCGGUAUUGGAGUACCUCCCGGCACAGUGCACCCCCA